GGAUGUGGCACAUGAGUAGAUGAAAGAGGAAUAACUGAAGCCCCAAUGCCUCCACACAUUCUUGCUCCCUGACAAUGGGAGUACUAGGUUGCAAACUCCUUUCCCUUCCCUUAUAUUUGCAAUAUGAUGAUGACUAUAGGAUGAUAGUGUUGUUAUGAAGGUGAGAUGCCACCACAAUGUUUCAGAGGCUCACAUCUGUCAGUACUCAUUAGAUAGAACUUGUGUUGCAGUUUUUGUUAUGUGCUUCUCUAAAUUCUCUGUUGGCCAUCGUCUAUCUCUCCUGCAUAGCUAGCCCGGUGCCAUCUCAGAAGCUAAACCAAAACUUUUAAGAUGCUUGUGUAGCAAAAUGCGUUUGGAGAAGCUCAUUUAUCUUUCAGUUACUCUGUAUAAAGUGUAAUGUUCUAUUUGGUUUUGGUUACCAGUGAUGUCUAAUUCUCCAGGCUUCUUAAAAAUGAUGGCUAUGCCCAACCUGCUCAUACUAACCAACAAUAACAGCUCAGUUGUAUCCAGUAUUUCCUAUUCAUUGGUUAUAACAAUUGACUUGUGUGUAGGAUUCGUCCAGUAUAUAUUCUGGGAUAAACAAUGGUUUGGCGAUGCUAUUAGUUCAUGAGAAGUUCAAGGAGGAUUUUUGAUAUUAUUUUAUUGUUAACGAGUCAUGCCAGUAAGCUUUAUGGGGCAUUGCACACUUACCUAUCCGUAAAGAAAUAUAAGAGCGUGUAGAUUACUAAAGUAGUGAUCUAAAUGCUCUUAUAUUUCUUUAUAGAGUGUGUAUAUCUUUAGUGAUCUACACGCUCUUAUAUUUCUUUACAGAGGGUGUAUAUUGCUACCUGGUUAUGUUGGUCUUUCGUAUACAGGUCUUGCUAUCCUUAUGUAUGGUCCUUCUUACCUAAUGUGUAUUAUGAAUGGUAUUUCAACCUUCGGUAUGUAUUCCUAAUCCUGGUCUAUAGAACAACCUUUCUGAACUUGAUGUCUCAGUUGUACUCGAACAAGAGCGCACGGAGGGAGCUCUUCUACGCCACCCCGGCGACAGGAACAAGGAAAAUCCAGUCCACGGUGCCACCAAUGAACAAGGUAAACAUGAGUUGUCGGUCACUUAUAAAUUCCGUACUUUUGUAAUGUCAAUCUAGGAUUCAUGUGAGUAAAUCUUACUGUUCUUUGGGCCGUGUACAAAAAUAUUGUUCGGUUUUCAGUAGUAGCUGCAGUUCUAUUGUUGUGAAAGCCUCAUGGUCCAUUAGAACACCCAUUUUAGAUAGAAUACUUCAGAUCUAUUGACUGUGAUUUAGUUGUGGCAUUGAUUUUUAUUUGGUCGAAUACUCACCUAAUGAAUCUAUUAAAUGAUCUAAAACCACCGAUUCACAUAUUAGCUUGUGCCACCGUUGAUUCUUUACUUAUCGUGUUAUUCUUAUUUUUGAGCUUGCAGGCCUGGCACAUUCUAUUACCAAAUAUAUUAUACAUAUCUAAUCGUUUGUCGUCUCAGGCACAUAGCAUGAGGUGUUUGCACCAAUUGCUUUCUUCGCACCAUGGCCAUGGCUUUGAUCGUCGAUGGACGUCACCAAUCACCUAUUCUAACUCUGGCAAGUACCCGAUGAUAUAUGAUGCCACCAGCUCUUGUGAUGUACCAUGUAAACAACCGUGUGAUCUCCCUCUUCUUUUGUGAACACGGCCUGGCGCGUCUAUCCAUCCUUUUGUACUCAAUAUCUACCUUGUACGAACAUUGCAUGGAUGGACAUUGCAUCCUUCAAUUUACCAUGUAUGAACAUUUGCAUCCUUUAAAUGUGUUUACUAUCGUUCUGGUCGCUAUGGAGAUGUGUUGUACUAUAUAUCAUUCUGAGAUGUGUUGUACUAUAUAUCAUUCUGGU
rnacentral:lncRNA from 1 species